ensembl:lncRNA
CUGUAACUGAAAUGUACUUUAUGAACGUAGUAUACAAUAUUAUGCCUUGUUUGGUCAACAAUGUCAGGGUUUAAGAGGUUAAAAACAGACAGCAUAUUAGACCUAUAGCAGCUCAUUGUUGACUAUCUGAUGAUGCCUCUCUGUGUGUGUGUGUGUGUGUGUGUGUGUGUGUGUGUGUGUGUCAGACCUUGCGUUUUGCCACUGCUGUUUGGUAAACACAUUUCCCAUCAGUCUGAAUGUAGCUGAUGGUCAUACUGUUCUCUGUGACUACAAAGUAAGCGAAUCCUCCGGACGUAAGGUUGACAGCGUUGGAGAACCGUUGCCAUGCCGACGGGAAGGUCUUGACGUGUUUGGUGGAUAGGUCUACAAAGUUUCCGCUCCCGCUGACCACGUAGGAACUCCCAUCAUCCUCUCUGAUAAACUGAGGCCGUAGUCUACGCACAAGACACUUUGUAGGGCCGUGAUGACCAAUGGACCACACAGGAUAGUGACCAGCCACCACAAGGAACUCUGACCUGGGAGAGAAUGACAGAUAAAAGACUGUGUUAGCCCCCUGAGCUAAAACAGAGGUAUUAUCUUCUGGAAGCUAGCACAAGUCUUCAUGUGUCAGGAAAGGUUACUCAUCAUGCGCGUGUGGUUCAACAAACCAACUCUUGUUACAGGAGUUUUCUAUUCCACAUUCAGUAACAGUUGAGGAAUGUGUGUGUAGCAGUGUGAAGGUAUUUCUUGAUUCAAAUAGUGAUGAGAGUGGAGGAGUCUAAAAGAGGGGUGUGGUCAGUCAGGGAUCUCUAAAAGAGGGGUGUGGUCAGUCAGGGAUCUCAAAAAGAGGGGUGUGGUCAGUCAGGGAUCUCUAAAAGAGGGGUGUGGCCAGUCAGGGAUCUCUUCAUGGUUCGAAAUCUUCACAUUCUUUUCUCAAGGCUCAAACAACAACUUAUUAAAUCAAAUACUUUUAUUUUCCUCCACCUUGAAAAACAUUUAAUCCAUCCAAGCCAUUAUUUACUCACAGAACAAGUUGUCUGCUGUUUCACCGAUGUGCUUGAACAGUGUAUACUUAAUGAGAGGCUGUGUUUGACCUGUUGCCUUUCAGGGCCAGUUUCUCAAACCUAGAUUAAGCAUAGUCCUAGACUAUCUAUGCUUAAUCUGGUUCCAGGAAACUGGACCAUAUGGACCUUACUUGCUGUUUGCCAGUCUGGAGUUGAUCCAGUCCAACUGCUUGGCAGAAGCCCCCAGGUCUUCCUUUCCUUUGGGCUGGGUCCCCUUAUAGGUUUUCCCACAUAGCACCACUGUGUCAAUCAUCAGGAUGGUCACUGACACGUUACUCUGGGGAACCUUGAACUGGAGCUCAUAGUACAACUCCGGGAACCUCCUGAGGCAACAAGAGGAGAGAACAACACAGAAUGUCCUGUUUUGUGUGGCUCAGUUGGUAAGAGAGUGUCGCUAGCAAACAACAAGAAGGUUGUGGGUUGAAUUCCCAACAGGGAUCACAUACUCUAAAUGUAUACACUAUUUGAAUGAAAGCAUCUGCUAAUUGGCAUGUGAAUGUUGUUUUCAGGAUGCUUGGCGUUAACGGUUUAAAACACACAGUUUUUAAAGAUCUUUACUUAAGCUGCUCACCAUCUCUUCGAUCUGCUCGAGUAAGCGAUCUGAGCGGAGACGUUGUUAAUGUGGUCAUGGUUCCCUGCCACCAAGUACCAAGGGAUGUCAACCAGCGAGGAAUGGGAGAAGACACCCUCAAAGGGGGAAAAAAAGGAGAAUCAAGUGCUCUAGGAGUGAGAAAAGAAAGUGUCCUCUUCGCUAUACAAGAACACGGUGAUCUGAACACAGCGCCGCCUUGUCAGUUUGUGUUACGUCCUUGUGUUCUUCAACUAACAAGAGGAUUCACUACAGACCCUGGUUUCGAUUCCGGGCUGUAUCACAACCGGCCGUGAUUGGGAGUCCCAUAGGGCGGCAUACAAUUGGCCCAGAGUCUUCUGGGUUAGGGUUUGGCCGGGGUAGGCCGUCAUUGUAAAUAAGAAUUUGUUCUUAACUGACUUGCCUAGUUAAUAAAAGGUCACAUUUUUAAAAAUAGUUUUUAAAACACAUUCUCUCUCUCACAAAGUUGGCUAGCUGCUUAGAAACAGGGAACAACUGUGACGCAACACUUCUUAUCGCAAUGCAUAUUUCACAAUCUGUUACACAGCAUGGAGCAUUAGAUAUUUCGUUUGCUCUCUUGCCAUUUUCAAAGUCCUUCCGUAUGUCUGUUGUAUGUGU